CGGAGCUGCUGUUCAUUUUGUCUGGUUUCAGGUGGUGACCUUUGCACCUAUUCACACUUUUCCCCUCACCAGUGCCCGAGGCUACCUUCCACCAGGCUCUAGCAGUACAAACGCACUACAACCGACUGGUGGACAAGUUCAGCCAGGACUCAAGCUUCCUGGAGGAGGCUCUAGCCAGGUAAUACAGAGAGCUGUAUGACCAAGCAGAAAAGACUAGGGCAAUAGAGGGAUUGUAGACAAUUUAAGGAUCUGCUCCUUUUUAACAUUUUAAUAGCACUAUCAAAGUAGAUUUCACUGGCAGUUUAUUCAACAUACAGACAUGUCAUACAAGAGGGGAGGACUCAGGUUUUGUAGUUUAAAUUAACCUUUUACUGCAGUGGGCUAAAUCAGGGUCACACAGAGUGUUUCUUGGUAGUCUUAAACAAAUCUACUUUGAAACAAAAGUAUACACCUCACACACAUGGUUAUGGGCUUAAAAAAAGGAAGACACCUGUACCAUGUCAGAUAUAGAGUUAAAAUGUAUUACAUUUUUAGUUUGCAUCCCAAUAUUACACAUUAUGUACAUCACAGACGAUAGAAAUAUAGAAACACUGGCUUUUCGGUUGGUUUUUGAAAUAAUGUUUAUUAACUCUGAAUAACAUGAGGUCACUAGGUCAUUUACUGCAGGAAAGGGCGACAGGGCAAUUCCACCGCUUUUCACUGGGAGGAACCAGGUAGGGUGUUGUAGUUCUAUUUAAAUGUUAAUGAACUAUAUCAGAUAUUAAGAACAUUUGUAUUAAUCUAAUUUAGGAACAAUUAAGAUAGGAUGUUCACACUACUUUAUGAAAAAUGUCCAGUCCAUAGUUUUGGGUCUGAAUCGCUCAGACUACAUGUUGGACCAGAAUGGCUCCCUGAAACAGAGAUCAACAUCAUUGCUGCCGGUGGGUGUGGUGUUUCUGCAUGCACACCAGACGUCCACCAGCACAUUCUGAAGAGGCCUGGUCAGCUGGAUGAAAGCAAGCAUGUCCUAGACAACAACCCUUCUGCAAGUCUGGCUAAGGCCUGGGACCUCUACGGCUCAGAAAGAUGGGCGUCAGAAGGUUUUCAUAUCACUUUAAAUGUAAAUGAUUCAAGCUCCAACUGGCAAUGCUAACUAUCUAACAUUCAUUCACUGCAGGGCAGUGGUCCCGUUUCUGGUUGAAGUAUUUUUUGGGCCAUAGAUAUAUUGAGAAUGAGCUAUGGAACAGAAGAAUUCCUGUUAUACGAAGACGAUUUGACGACGUAUCUAAGAUGGGAUUCCUUGCUGAAAACGAGGAUAUUUGUUCUAUAGUUACUUGUUGUGACCAAAUGGAUUGUUAGAUUUCUAACAAACAUAGAUGGAAGAGGUUGCUAUUGUAUAUUUCCGCUAUGGGUACAUUCCUCAGAACUACACAGAACAGAGCUGGGAGGCUGGCCUCAUGAUGGAACGUUCUAUGGCUGUGAAGUGUCCAGAUAUCAGUACCCACCUGGCUGGCACCAAGAAGGUCCAACAGGAACUGGCCAGACCUGGUGUUCUGGAGAGGUUCUUUCCUGGUGAACCUGACGUGGUGGAUCAGAUCUGGGCCACCUUUGCAGGGCUGUAUAGUCUAGACAUGGGACCAGAAGGUGACAAGACUGUGGCUUUGGCAAAACCAGACCAGUUUGUCCUGAAGCCACAGAGGGAAGGUGGGGGUAAAAGGACCUCAGCUCUUCUUACAAUGAGUGCAUUAACUAAAGGUCGCCUGGUGCCCCGGGUGAGCUGAGAUUUCACUUUAGGACCAUUGGAAUGGUCUACAAUGUACAAACUCUACCCACUCUGUGCCCCAGGUGAGGCAAAACGAAUGCACCUAGUCUCUUGUGACCCUGACACCGUCAUGCUCUGGCCUGUCUGUUGAUGUGUAGAAUUCCUCCUCCUGUGGGCAACCACAUCUAUGGAGCUGAGAUCUGUCAGGUACUGGAGGGUGUGACAUAUAGAGGGCAGCUUACAUCCGGAUGGACAAGAUCCAGCCUGUGCACGACUACAUCCUGUAACGGGGGACUCUGCUAAAACUCAGCACUUGCAUAUGUGAACUGGGCACAUUUGGAGCUUAUGCCAGGAGCAGUCACAUGGUGCUGAAUAAGUGUGCUGAGGACCAAGAGUGAUGAGCGCUCUGAUGGAGGUGUGGCUGCCAGAGUAACAGUCCAAGACAACCCACUCUUCAUCUGACUGUCACUGUCCUUUUUGAUACUAGUGUAUUUUGACUGGUCUAUAAAUUAAGCCAAUGGAUCCAUACUAUCCAAGGAUGAGUGUAAUGUCUGUCAUCCAACUAUGCCCAUAAUGUAUGUAGGAUGUAUGUGCUGUUAUGUUGAAUUUGAUGUGGAAUUGUUCACAUAGCCUGUCUGAUGGUACAGAUUAAAUGAAUAGCCUAUCCAAUGAAAUGCAGGAAUCGGACCGAGCGAGAAAAGUAGAAAUAAUCAUCAGUUUUCAUUAGCACUUUGCUGUUGAUUUCUUCAACUUAUUCAAAUGACUGGCAGGGAUCAACCAAGUUUAAUAAUGUAGAAUUAUGAUGAGUUCAUACAGCGGUAAUUGAUUUGGAAAGUAUAUCACAAUAACUGCUGUUACUCAAACAUGGAGAAUGGUAUUAGGAUGUAUGAAAUGCAGUUCCUUAGUUUGAACACCAGGUGACAGUAAAGGGUAAGAUAUUUCCAUAGAGAAAGACAUUAGCACACAGGCAGUGCUAUUGAGGCAAUCUCCAAUUUGAAGUAGUCAAUUUUCUUCUAUUAUUUUUAUUUCACCUUUUAUUUAACCAGCUAGGCUAGUUGAGAACAAGUUCUCAUUUACAACUGCGACCUGGCCAAGAAGAAGCAAAGCAGUGCGACACAACAGGAGCAAAAUAAAUAAUAUGGUGAGGUAGUUGGAUGGGCUAUUUACAGAUUGCCUAUGUACAG